rnacentral:rRNA from 1 species
GCCAGACUCCUACGGGAGGCAGCAGUGAGGAAUAUUGGUCAAUGGGCGCGAGCCUGAACCAGCCAAGUCGCGUGAGGGAUGACGGCCCUACGGGUUGUAAACCUCUUUUGUCGGGGAGCAAAUUCCGCCACGUGUGGCGGAGUCGAGAGUACCCGAAGAAAAAGCAUCGGCUAACUCCGUGCCAGCAGCCGCGGUAAUACGGAGGAUGCGAGCGUUAUCCGGAUUUAUUGGGUUUAAAGGGUGCGUAGGCGGAAUAUCAAGUCAGCGGUAAAAAUUCGGGGCUCAACCCCGUCGUGCCGUUGAAACUGAUGUUCUUGAGUGGGCGAGAAGUAUGCGGAAUGCGUGGUGUAGCGGUGAAAUGCAUAGAUAUCACGCAGAACUCCGAUUGCGAAGGCAGCGCACCGGCGCCCUACUGACGCUCAGGCACGAAAGCGUGGGUAUCGAACAGGAUUAGAUACCCCAGUACG